rnacentral:piRNA from 1 species
UAAGUGCUUUUGCCCUAAAUUGAGUGU